CUACGUGCCAGCAGCCGCGGUAAUACGUAGGUCCCGAGCGUUGUCCGGAUUUAUUGGGCGUAAAGCGAGCGCAGGCGGUUAGAUAAGUCUGAAGUUAAAGGCUGUGGCUUAACCAUAGUACGCUUUGGAAACUGUUUAACUUGAGUGCAGAAGGGGAGAGUGGAAUUCCAUGUGUAGCGGUGAAAUGCGUAGAUAUAUGGAGGAACACCGGUGGCGAAAGCGGCUCUCUGGUCUGUAACUGACGCUGAGGCUCGAAAGCGUGGGGAGCGAACAGGAUUAGAUACCCUGGUAGUCCACGCCGUAAACGAUGAGUGCUAGGUGUUGGAUCCUUUCCGGGAUUCAGUGCCGCAGCUAACGCAUUAAGCACUCCGCCUGGGGAGUACGACCGCAAGGUUGAAACUCAAAGGAAUUGACGGGGGCCCGCACAAGCGGUGGAGCAUGUGGUUUAAUUCGAAGCAACGCGAAGAACCUUACCAGGUCUUGACAUCCCGAUGCUAUUUCUAGAGAUAGAAAGUUA
rnacentral:rRNA from 1 species